CCUGUUUAUUAAAAACAUGUYUUUUUGAUAAUAAUUUAAAGUCUGACCUGCCCACUGAAUUAAUUAAAUGGCCGCGGUAUUUUGACCGUGCAAAGGUAGCAUAAUCAUUAGUUUUUUAAUUGAAAGCUGGAAUGAAGGGUUGAAUGAAAAAAUAACUGUCUCUUUUUAAUUAUAAUAGAAUUUUAUUUUUAAGUUAAAAAGCUUAAAUUUAAUUAGAAGACGAGAAGACCCUAUAGAGUUUAAUAAAUUAUUAAUUAUAAAAUCUUUAGUUUUUAAAUUUUUAUUAUAUUUUAUUUAUUUAAUUGGGGUGAUUGAAAAAUUUAAUAAACUUUUUUUUUAUUAAUACAUUAAUUUAUGAAUAUUUGAUCCUUUUUUAAGAUUAAAAGAUAAAAUUACCUUAGGGAUAACAGCGUUAUUUUUUUUUAGAGUUCAAAUUAAAAAAAAAGAUUGCGACCUCGAUGUUGGAUUAAAAUUAAUUUUUGGUGUAGAAGCUAAAAAUUUUAGGUCUGUUCGACCUUUAAAAUUUUACAUGAUCUGAGUUUARACCGG
rnacentral:rRNA from 1 species